rnacentral:scRNA from 1 species
AUGCUCUCAUUCCCAUUCCUGUGCACCUGGGG